rnacentral:rRNA from 1 species
UUCGAGCAGGUGCGAAAGCAGGUCAUAGUGAUCCGGUGGUUCUGAAUGGAAGGGCCAUCGCUCAACGGAUAAAAGGUACUCCGGGGAUAACAGGCUGAUACCGCCCAAGAGUUCAUAUCGACGGCGGUGUUUGGCACCUCGAUGUCGGCUCAUCACAUCCUGGGGCUGAAGUCGGUCCCAAGGGUAUGGCUGUUCGCCAUUUAAAGUGGUACGCGAGCUGGGUUUAGAACGUCGUGAGACAGUUCGGUCCCUAUCUGCCGUGGGCGUUGGAGAAUUGAAAGGGGCUGCUCCUAGUACGAGAGGACCGGAGUGGACGAACCUCUGGUGUUCGGGUUGUGUCGCCAGACGCAUUGCCCGGUAGCUAAGUUCGGGAUCGAUAACCGCUGAAAGCAUCUAAGCGGGAAGCGAGCCUUGAGAUGAGUUCUCCCUGAUACUUUAAGUAUCCUAAAGGGUUGUCG